rnacentral:rRNA from 1 species
GAACGGAGCUAGCAAUAGCUUAGUGGCGGACGGGCGAGUAACGCGUGAGCAACCUGCCCCUUGGCGAGGAAUAGCGGCUGGAAACGGCCGGUAAUACCUCAUAAUGUUAGAGAGCGACAUCGUUUUCUAACCAAAGGUUUACCACCGAGGGAUGGGCUCGCGUCUGAUUAGCUAGUUGGCAGGGUAACGGCCUACCAAGGCUUCGAUCAGUAGCCGGACUGAGAGGUUGAACGGCCGCAUUGGGACUGAGACACGGCCCAGACUCCUACGGGAGGCAGCAGUGGGGGAUAUUGCGCAAUGGGGGAAACCCUGACGCAGCGAUGCCGCGUGGAGGAAGAAGGUUUUCGGAUUGUAAACUCCUGUUUUCGGGGAAGAUAAUGACGGUACCCGAAGAGAAAGCUUCGGCUAACUACGUGCCAGCAGCCGCGGUAAUACGUAGGAAGCGAGCGUUGUCCGGAAUUACUGGGCGUAAAGGGUGCGUAGGCGGAGCGUCAAGUCAGGUGUGAAAUUUACGGGCUCAACUCGUAAACUGCACUUGAAACUGAUGCCCUUGAGUGGAGCAGAGGCAAGCGGAAUUCCUGGUGUAGCGGUGAAAUGCGUAGAUAUCAGGAGGAACACCGGUGGCGAAGGCGGCUUGCUGGGCUUUAACUGACGCUGAGGCACGAAAGUGUGGGGAGCAAACAGGAUUAGAUACCCUGGUAGUCCACACUGUAAACGAUGAUUACUAGGUGUGGGCAGAGACCCUGUCCGUGCCGCAGUUAACACAAUAAGUAAUCCGCCUGGGGAGUACGGCCGCAAGGUUGAAACUCAAAGAAAUUGACGGGGGCCCGCACAAGCAGUGGAGUAUGUGGUUUAAUUCGAAGCAACGCGAAGAACCUUACCAGGUCUUGACAUCGAGUGAAGUGUUAAGAGAUUAGCACGCCUUCGGGCACAAAGACAGGUGGUGCAUGGUUGCCGUCAGCUCGUGUCGUGAGAUGUUGGGUUAAGUCCCGCAACGAGCGCAACCCUUACGGUCGGUUGUUACGCAAGAACACUCCGGCCGGACUGCCGUUGACAAAGCGGAGGAAGGCGGGGACGACGUCAAAUCAUCAUGCCCCUUAUGACCUGGGCUACACACGUACUACAAUGGCGUUUAACAAUGUGGAGCUAACCCGCGAGGGGGAGCAAAUCACCAAAAAACGUCUCAGUUCGGAUUGCAGGCUGCAACUCGCCUGUAUGAAGUCGGAAUUGCUAGUAAUCGCGAAUCAGCAUGUCGCGGUGAAUACGUUCCCGGGC